AUUGAAACUCCAGUUCCUGCAUGAUCAUUGAAGUUAAGCAAUAUUGAACCUGGUCAGUACAUAGAUGGGUGACCACUUGGGAAUACUAGGUGCUGUAAG